UUUCCCCUUCGCCACGUUUUCUCCUAAUAAUAGAUCUUAGUGGCUGUGCUUAUGGGGUAAUUAAAAUUGCCAUGAUCUGAAGAGAGAAGAUUUACUUAUGUCCUCUUCCUAUAUGAAAUGGCUGAACAGGAAAAA
ensembl:snoRNA small nucleolar RNA SNORA29